rnacentral:pre_miRNA from 1 species
UCUCCACAACAAGCUGCCCCCCAGGCUGGGCUGGGAGAGUAUCUCUUGGAAAGGCUCACCCUCAAGCACCACUAGCAGC